rnacentral:ribozyme from 13 species
AGAGAGGGAAAGAGGAAUAGAAGAAGAGAGAAAGAAAUGAGAAAAGGAACAACUUGUUGAUAUUUUUGUUUUAAUUUUAUUUAACUUAUUCUUUUUUUUUGGUUUGUUUUGUU